ACAGUUGUCUCACUUUCUCACUCAUAUUCACCAUUGACUUCAUCGAACUCAGAACCUCACCCUACCAAUUUCCUUCUUUUCUCCAAAUUUAGGGUUAAGAUUUCUAAUGCAUCAUCACUUGUCUCAACCUUCUCUACAAAACCCUUGACCUUCUUAGUGAGGGAACCAAGAGACCACUACGUCUCGACAAGUCUACCACUGUGAGAUCUGGUACACACAAUCUCGAUUGCUUCCACAUCAAAGCUAUGGGUUUCAUUUUUCUUGAUACUUUAUUGGACUGGUAAGUAUUUCUACUAUAUCUAAUCUCAAUUGAAAUUAGUUUUUUAAAUUCACAAGUUUUCUCAAAUUAGCGUUUUUGAAUAAAUAGAAAUUAAGAGUGAGUUAGUGUUUCAGUGGUGUUUUGGUGGUGUUCAUGGUUGGCAGUUAUGAUGGUUGAUAAAAUGUGUCCUUUGAUUAUGUAUUGACAAUGAUUAGUAAGGAUGAUAAUACUUUUUACUUGGUUGAAGUUGGACAAAACCUAGAAGCAACUUCAUGUUCAUAUUCUUACUAUGGGUUUUCUUCUACUUCUACUCUAGUUUUGUUUAUGAAAAAUCAGCAUUUGUGAUAUGUUCCCUGCAAAAUAUUUUGGUUGGAGAGUGUAAUUUAUUUGGCAAGGUAGAGUGUGUGUAAACCCAUUUUCUUUACCCACAAUUAUAGUAUCUCAACCUGCUAUGAUAUACUUAACGAUACUAUUUAUUAUAUUAUCUGCAACAUCUCCAUGGUGGAUGUGUUGCUUUAAGGUCUCGGUUUGAAAUACUUUAUACUAGUGGUGUAAAUUGUAUAACAUGUGAAAGUAAUUUAGGAUUUCAACUUGUGGCCAUGUUCCAUAUAUAACUAACCAUUGUGUUUACCGAACAUAUUAGAAUUUAUGAUUUUUAUUUAACAAUAAAUUAAAAUGAUAAAUAGAAGCUCUUAAACUUAGUAAUUUUUAAAAAAUCUUGUUUCGUCGUGUAAUUGGUAAGUUAAUUAUUUAUUAGCAUUUAGAGAGUAAACUGAAUGGUCUAUGAUCUAGAAAAAAAUUGUGGUGAUCAAAUAUUUGCACUUCAAAUAUGUUCUUCAGUAUAUAGGUUGUUACUUCUUGGCUAUAUUGUUAUUUUGUAUUGAAGCUUCAGUUUUCAAGUCUAACUGUAUGUUUUCAAAAUUGGCAAUGAUACCUUACCUGAAAUAUUUCUAGUAAUGAAAAGACUAAAGAAUCUGGAAUAGCAAAGGAAAAACAUGUCAGUGCACAAUAAUGCAUAUCUUUACCUGACCAACUAAAUGUGAAGGAUAUGUAAGUUGUGAAAUUUGUAGAAAAUGUUGAUAUAGAUGGACCUUCUACUCUGUGCUUCGAUCUAUUAAUUAAGCAUUUAGAUUGUUUCGGAUUUGGCUAAAUUGUUUGUGUGUAUGUCAGUUAUGUUGACUCUUGUAUUAGGUGUGUGCAGAGCAUAGUGCACGAACACAUUGGUGCCAUAUGAUUCUUCCGGUUAAGGAUCUUGUCAGCAGGUGCAUUAUUGUGCUUUUUUUAUUUUAUUUUCUAGUAGCAUGUGAUAAAUAAGUUUUGUUUUUUUUAAUGAUAUGAUUCAAAUUCUUGUAAGUAAUUAAAAAAUUGUAAUUAAAUUUUUUAUUGAGACUAAUUGAUUGAACAAGCAUUUUCUUGUUAUACUAUGUUAAUAUUUGUAUUCUGAGAAGAAUUGAUGUUAUUUUUGCAGAAAUGUUAAGUUACAAAAUCAUUACCUUUUUGUUAUUAGUACAAAAAUAAGAACAGUGGCAUUUAAUAGCACUUUUUUAAAAGUGUUAUUAAAGAUUGGGUCUAUAAUAGCACUUUUCAUAAAAGC
rnacentral:lncRNA from 1 species